rfam:Tinamus guttatus contig56256, whole genome shotgun sequence.
CCAAAGGCUCUUUUAAGAGCCACCUCAUGUCCAGUAAAAGGAGCUGU